AUUUGAUCUGUCGCACCGCCGUUACAUUUCUACGGUAGAUUGACAGCCGUCGGAUGAUGAUUGACCGCGGAUGUACCGGCAAUCGAACCGGCGGACGAGGAAGCGGGGCUUUUGGCUCCGCUUUUUUGUU
rnacentral:sRNA from 1 species